AAGCCACACAGCCUGUGGGACCCUAGCUCCCCAACCAGGGACCGAAUCUGGGCCCUCAGCGAACCUGGGCCCUCGGCAGUGAAAGCACGGAGUCCCAACCACUGGACCGCCAGGGAAUUCCCCCCUAUUGACCUUUUAAAGUUUUAAACUGAAUUAUCACUGUGAAUUCUUUAUCUAUAUGGAAGUUUUCCAGGCAACUCAGAUGGGUGACAGUAAAAGCUUUAUGCAAAUACAAUGAAACCAACACCUGCAGCCUCCAUGCAUAGAGGGGUGUAGAAGGCUUCGCCAGGAAACAAGAAUCCUAGGUUGAGUGGAAGAGCAUCAGGGUGAGAGGUGCCGGACUCUCACUUUUAGAUCCAGGGAGAAUGACAGUCCCUCUUGCUGGCUACUUGUUUGCAGGAAGGUCACUCAGCUUUCCUUGGAUGUUUUCUUUGGGUAGUUAAGUCAAUGAGACUGGAACGGAGCAGCGUUUUGCCUUCUGAACUUAAUUUUCACAGAGUUCCAGAAUUUCAGGGUUGGACAAGACCUUUAAAAGCCACUGGUCCAGCCACCCCUGUUGCUCACAUCUUUACUGCAUCCCUACCCAGUAGCCAUUCAUUCAGCCUGGACCUGAAUACCUCUGCUGAUGAGGAACUCAUCACUUCACCACUGAAGCCCCAUCUGUAGACAGCUCUGCUGUUGAUGAUGACAUUUGUAGCUAUCAUUUGUCGAGCAACUGCAAUGUGCCAGCACUGGGCUAAACACCUUUAAGUACAUGAUAUCAUGUAUUCCUCAUAA